GCCGGGUUAGCUCAGCUGGUAGAGCAGCGGUUUUGUAAACCGAAGGUCGCGGGUUCGAUCCCUGCACUCGGCACCA
rnacentral:tRNA from 19 species